rnacentral:rRNA from 1 species
GGUUUGAUCAUGGCUCAGAUUGAACGCUGGCGGGAUGCUUUACACAUGCAAGUCGAACGGCAGCACGGACUUCGGUCUGGUGGCGAGUGGCGAACGGGUGAGUAAUGUAUCGGAACGUGCCUAGUAGCGGGGGAUACACGCGAAAGCGUGGCUAAUACCGCAUACACCCUUCGGGGAAAGCGGGGACCUCGGGCCUCGCACUAUUAGAGCGGCCGAUAUCGGAUUAGCUAGUUGGUGGGGUAACGGCUCACCAAGGCGACGAUCCGUAGCUGGUUUGAAAGAGGACGACCAGCCACACUGGGACUGAGACACGGCCCAGACUUACGGGAGGCAGCAGUGGGGGAAUUUUGGAUAAUGGGGAAACCUGAUCCAGCCAUCCCCAAAAGGAGGAAGGCCUUCGGGUUAAAGCACUUUUGGCAGGAAGAAACGGCACGGGAUAAUACCCCCGUGCAACUGACGGUACCUGCAGAAUGCUGGACCGGCUAACUACGCCACAGCAGCCGCGGUAAUACGUAGGGUGCAAGCGUUAAUCGGAAUUACUGGGCGUAAAGCGUGUGCGUAGUGCGGUUCGGAAAGAAAGAUGCGAAAUCCUGUGAGCUAACUUUGGAACUGCAUUUAACUACCGAGCUCAGAGUGUGUCAGAGGGAGGUGGAAUUCCGCGUAGUAGCAGUGAAAUGCGUAGAUAUGCGGAGGAACACCGAUGGCGAAGGCAGCCUCCUGGGAUAACACUGACGCUCAUGCACGAAAGCGUGGGGAGCAAACAGGAUUAGAUACCCCGGUAGUCCACGCCCUAAACGAUGUCAACUAGCUGUUGGGGCCUUCGGGCCUCUAUGGUAGCGCAGCUUAACGCGAAGUUGACCGCCUGGGGAGUACGGUCGCAAGAUUAAAACUCAAAGGAAUUGAUUUGGGACUGCACAAGCGGUGGAUGAUGUGGAUUAAUUCGAUGCAACGCGAAAACCUUAAUGCAAUUCUUGACAUGUGUCUGGAAUCCCGGAAGAGAUUUGGGAGAGUGCUCGCAAGAGAACCGAACACAGGUGCUGCAUGGCUGUCGUCAGCUCGUGUCGUGAGAUGUUGGGUUAAGUCCCGCAACGAGCGAACUUGUCAUUAGUUGCUACGAAAGGGCACUCUAUCGAGACUGCCGGUGACAAACUGAGGAAGGUGGGGAUGACGUUUGGAGUCUCAUGGCCCUUAUGGGUAGGGCUUCACACGUCAUACAAUGGUCGGGACAGAGGGUCGCCAACCCGCGAGGGGGAGCCAUCCCAGAAACCCGAUCGUAGUCCGGAUCGCAGUCUGCAACUCGACUGCGUGAAGUCGGAAUCGCUAGUAAUCGCGGAUCAGCAUGUCGCGGUGAAUACGUUCCCGGGUCUUGUACACACCGCCCGUCACACCAUGGGAGUGGGUUUUACCAGAAGUAGUUAGCCUAACCGUAAGGAGGGCGAUUACCACGGUAGGAUUCAUGACUGGGGUGAAGUCGUAACAAGGUAG